CACUUCUCUCCCAGAGAAAAAAAACCGUCUUAUCUCGAUCCCUUUCUUCCUCGACAGUGGUGUAGAAGGAGAGGAGCACCGGCGUCCACACCGGGGAGGUCGAAGGGGAGGCGGUAGAUUGGAGGAGCCCAGCGAGCCGGUCGGCCGGGGCCAUACAGAAGCAACGCUGCCGUCUCCUUUCCCCCACUUUUUUAGGAGCUGGAUCUGAGGUGGCCAACCGCCGCUGUCGCCGCCGCCCCGUCGGGAAAAGGCCACCAUGUAGAUCACGCAGCAGGCCGGUCCACCCGCUAAAAUCUGUUGAUUUUGCCCUUCGUUGUAUCUUCUGCACCAUCUGCUUCUCUAUUCACCCGCCAAACAAAUGAGUAUGUGCCAUGCUUUGCAUGAAAUUCAUUGAACAGAUGUACCUCUUCUCCUGAAGCCGAUGCUGCCAUGCCUAUGAAUCGGAUAUGACCGAUGCUUUGUCAAGGGCUCAUAUGAGAGAAGAAAAGGAGGCUGGAGAUGCAGAGAAAGAAGCUCUAAGCUCGACAAAGGCAUCAGGAUGAAAACGUCGGCAUUGGAGUCGUGGCCGUGGCAGGGAAGGCGAACCCAGCGCAGCUCUGCCAGUGGCUCAAGAGGAAGAUAAGCAAGGAUGUCAAGAUUUUCCGCCAUUGUCCACACGGGCUGAGAAUUGUAAUAAGCAGGUAUGCAUCCCUCUUGUCUACUUGUACUGCAGAAUGAAGGAUGAUGUGUGUAAUAUCCAAAUGAAUGUACGUUAUUACGAAGGGCUAGCCGUGUGGGGUUAAGGUGCUUGCCGGCGGCGACCUGCGUGGCUCUCGGCCUGCAUCCUCGCUGAACUCAACACCAACUAUCGCGCGCCCGCGAUGUGACUGCUGUUGCAACAACGACGGCCAACGGCUACUGAACGACGAGGAUGCCCUUCGGGGUUAUAGCAUGCAAAGCAAAGCAGUUGCUCGAUCCUCACAGCCAAUAUAUCUCCGUGUAGAAGCAGAAGAAGCAGCAAUUGAUUCGUAAGUAGCAAUUUUAUCUGUUUCAUUCCUUUGUAUUUUUGCCCUCUGUUUCUGCUGAAUGUAUGUAUCACUUUUUUCAGAUAUAUUGAUCUUCACAUUCUUAGUUGGCAUCCAUAGUGGUUGUAGUUGUACACAUAGCCGUUCUCAGUUGGAUACGACAAUUAGAAAGUUACACAACACUAAACCUUUUUCCUACGGCGGUGAAAGUGGAACGGUAUACAUUGAACUGAAUACACAUGGCGUUCAUUUUUUUGGCAUUUAUAGUAAUUCUUGUUGCACACAUAGUUGUUUUCGUCGGAGACGAUCAUUACUAUAGUAGUUGUAGUUGCACAUACAGUUGUUCUCAGUUGGAUCCUAUUAUUGAAAAAUUGCACACAUGGCAAUCAUUUUUUGUUGGCAUCUAUAGUAGUUUUAGUUGCACACAUAGUUGUUUUCAGUUGGACACGAUUAUUGGGAAGUUACACACACGGUGAUCAUUUUUGUUAGCAUCUAUAGUAGUUCUAAUUGCACACAUAUUUGUUCUCAAUUGGAUACGAUCAUUGGAAAGUUGCACACACGGCGACCAUUUUUUGUUGGCAUCUAUAGUACUUCUAGAUAUUAUGCACAUAAUUGUUCUUAGUUAGAUACGGUCAUUCAGAAGUUACACACACGGUGAUCAUUUUUUGUUGGCAUCUACAGUAGUUCUAGUUAUACACAUAGUUGUUUUCAGUUGGACACGAUCAUUGGAAAGUUGCACACACGGCGAUCAUUUUUGGGUGGCAUCUAUAGUAGUUCUAGUUGCACAAAUAGUUGUUUUCAGUUGGAUACGGUCAUUGGGAAGUUGCACACACGGCAAUCAUUUUUUUGUUGGCAUCUAUAAUAGUUCUAGUUGCACACAUAGUUGUUUUCAGUUGGACACGGUCAUUAGAAGUAGUUGGCAGGGGCAAUAGAAGUAGUUGCACAGAAUCUGCUAGUCAAAACUUCACGGUGGCGAAAGAUUCCUCUUAGUAAAACUGCAGAGAAGAAAGGUGCGCGCGGAGGCAGUACCCAAAGGGGUAGAUGCCACAUCUUCUGCAGCAGCCGCUGUGGUAACAUAAAGUUCCAUCAGGAAUAUUUUUUACUCCACAUACAGGCAGCCAAGUGUAUGAAUUUUCAUACAUGAUUGCAGAAGGACUAAUUAAGCAUUGGCAUGCUCAACUUUCUCAGUUGCUCAACGUUGCCAUCUUCAAGUUUUUUAGAAUUGUCCCAAGAGUAUGUAACGACUUGGCAUCCUCAGGCUUUCUAGUUGCAGAAUAGUAUCUAAUUAGUUGGCAACCUCAGUAAUUCUAGUUGCACAACAAUAUAUAACUAGUUGACAUCCUCAUCUUUUCUAGUUGCACAAAAACUCAGAUUAGUCCCAUCUUAAAAAAAUUGAGGAUUUCCCUACAGUAUGUAACGACUUGGCACCCUCAGGCUUUCUAGUUGCAGAAGAGUAUCUAUUUAGUUGGCACCCUCGACAAUUCUAGUUGGACAACAUUAUCCAAGUAGUUGAAAUCCUCAGCCUCUCUAGUUGCAUAAGAAUUCAGAUUUAUCCCAUCUUAAAAUUUUUGAGGAUUGCCCAACGGUAUCUAAUCACUUGGCACCCUCAGGAUUUCUAGUUGCAGAAGAGUAUCUAUUUAGUUGGCACCCUCUACAAUUCUAGUUGGACAACAUUAUUCAAGUAGUUGUCAUCCUCAGCCUCUCUAGUUGCACAAGAAUAUCUCAUUAGUUGGCAUCAUCAGCAUUUCUAGUCGCACAAGAAUAUCUCAUUAGUUGUCAUCACCAGCAUUUCUAGUUGCAGAACAAACAGGAUAUCAAGUUGCCAUCCUCAACAUUUUAAUCUAGUUUUCCAGAGAACAAAUAUUUGUAUGUAAUGAUAACUAAUCACCUUUGCCUUUUUUUGCAAACCGCGAGAUAUUGUUCAAGGAAAUGAGAGUAAUGAAGCAGAUAAUGUUGAACGAUAGUCACAAGCUGGCUACCUGAUGGAGACUACUCUGGAUACCUGAUGUUUGAGUUGGAUAGAAUACCUGUUUUAGUUGGCUAUAAUACUCUGGAUACCUGAUGCAUUUUUUUCACCCCUGGAUAUGUUUGUUUGCAGACAUCCAUGUGAAAGUUGGUUUCAAACAAUGGUUUUCUUGCACAGGGAACUGAAUUUCUUAUGCUUUUACUUGAUCUUC